rnacentral:rRNA from 1 species
UACGUAGGGGGCUAGCGUUGUCCGGAAUCACUGGGCGUAAAGCGCACGUAGGCGGAUCUUUAAGUCAGGGGUGAAAUCCCAAGGCUCAACCUUGGAACUGCCUUUGAUACUGGGAUCUCGAGUCCGGAAGAGGUUGGUGGAACUGCGAGUGUAGAGGUGAAAUUCGUAGAUAUUCGCAAGAACACCAGUGGCGAAGGCGGCCAACUGGUCCGGUACUGACGCUGAGGUGCGAAAGCGUGGGGAGCAAACAGGG